CCUACGGGAGGCAGCAGUGAGGAAUAUUGGUCAAUGGGCGAGAGCCUGAACCAGCCAAGUCGCGUGAAGGAUGACGGCCCUACGGGUUGUAAACUUUUUUUGUCAGGGAGCAAUUGGGUCCACGCGUGGGCUGAGCGAGAGUCCCUGAAGAAAAAGCAUCGGCUAACUCCGUGCCAGCGGCCGCGGUCAUCCGGAGGAUGCGAGCGUUAUCCGGAUUUAUUGGGUUUAAAGGGUGCGUAGGCGGAAUAUCAAGUCAGCGGGAAAAAUUCGGGGCUCAACCCCGUCGUGCCGUUGAAACUGGUGUUCGUGAGUGGGCGAGAAGUAUGCGGAAUGCGUGGUGUAGCGGUGAAAUGCAUAGAUAUCACGCAGAACUCCGGUUGCGAAGGCAGCAUACCGGCGCCCAACUGACGCUGAAGCACGAAAGCGUGGGUAUCGAACAGGAUUAGAUACCCGUGUAGUC
rnacentral:rRNA from 1 species